rnacentral:tRNA from 1 species
GCACCCGUAGCUCAGUGGAUAGAGCAGCCGCCUUCUAAGCGGUCGGUCCCAGGUUCGAAUCCUGGCGGGUGCGCCA